rnacentral:rRNA from 1 species
GAUGAACGCUGGCGGCGUGCCUAAUACAUGCAAGUCGAGCGAACGGACGAGAAGCUUGCUUCUCUGAUGUUAGCGGCGGACGGGUGAGUAACACGUGGAUAACCUACCUAUAAGACUGGGAUAACUUCGGGAAACCGUAGCUAAUACCGGAUAAUAUUUUGAACCGCAUGGUUCAAAAGUGAAAGACGGUCUUGCUGUCACUUAUAGAUGGAUCCGCGCUGCAUUAGCUAGUUGGUAAGGUAACGGCUUACCAAGGCAACGAUGCAUAGCCGAACUGAGAGGGUGAUCGGCCACACUGGAACUGAGACACGGUCCAGACUCCUACGGGAGGCAGCAGUAGGGAAUCUUCCGCAAUGGGCGAAAGCCUGACGGAGCAACGCCGCGUGAGUGAUGAAGGUCUUAGGAUCGUAAAACUCUGUUAUUAGGGAAGAACAUAUGUGUAAGUAACUGUGCACAUCUUGACGGUACCUAAUCAGAAAGCCACGGCUAACUACGUG